rnacentral:rRNA from 1 species
CAAGUCGAACGAGAAAGCGGGAGCAAUCUCGCGAGUACAGUGGCGUACGGGUGAGUAACACGUGGGUAAUCUACCUCCGAGUGGGGAAUAACCCUGGGAAACCGGGGCUAAUACCGCAUAAGCCCGAGAGGGGAAAGCAGCAAUGCGCUGGGAGAGGAGCCCGCGGCCGAUUAGCUAGUUGGUGGGGUAAAAGCCCACCAAGGCAAAGAUCGGUAGCCGGCCUGAGAGGGCACACGGCCACACUGGCACUGAAACACGGGCCAGACUCCUACGGGAGGCAGCAGUGGGGAAUCUUGCACAAUGGGGGAAACCCUGAUGCAGCGACGCCGCGUGAGCGAUGAAGCCCUUCGGGGUGUAAAGCUCUUUCGGCAGGGACGAUUAUGACGGUACCUGCAGAAGCAGCUGCGGCUAACUACGUGCCAGCAGCCGCGGUAAUACGUAGGCAGCGAGCGUUGUUCGGAGUUACUGGGCGUAAAGGGUGUGUAGGCGGUCCCUUAAGUUUGGUGUGAAAUCUCCCGGCUCAACUGGGAGGGUGCGCCGGAUACUGAGGGGCUAGAGUGCGGGAAGGGAAAGUGGAAUUCCUGGUGUAGCGGUGAAAUGCGUAGAUAUCAGGAGGAACACCGGUGGUGCAAACGGCUUUCUGGACCGUAACUGACGCUGAGACACGAAAGCGUGGGGAGCAAACAGGAUUAGAUACCCUGGUAGUCCACGCCCUAAACGAUGCACGUUUGGUGUAGGUCAUUCAGUUGAUCUGUGCCGGAGCUAACGCGUUAAACGUGCCGCCUGGGGAGUACAGUCGCAAGGCUGAAACUCAAAGGA